CUCAUGCUCGCCGCAGGGGUCGGAGGUCAGGGCGAGCGUCUCCCGGGCCGAAGGAGGAAGAUGGCGGUGGAAUCGCGCGUUACCCAGGAGGAAAUUAAGAAGGAGCCGGAGAAGCCGAUCGACCGCGAGAAGACCUGCCCGCUGCUGCUGCGGGUCUUCACCACCAACAACGGCCGCCACCACCGAAUGGACGAGUUCUCCCGCGGGAACGUGCCUUCGAGCGAGCUGCAGAUCUACACCUGGUGAGCCGCGCGGGCCCGGCGCCUUGCGGGCUGCGCCCUCAGGGACUGACAGGGCGGCCUUACUCGCCGUGUAACGCAUUUAGGAGUGGGGUGAAACGUUAGGUUACAGUGAACUCACCGGUCUUGCUCUCACCGUGUGGCCUCCUGGUACAGAAUGAUACGUAGUUUAAAAUGCGGCAGAGAAGAUGGUAGAUGACUGGGAGUCGGCUGUUGAGUAUAUUAUGUUCUCGGAGCGUAGGCAAUAGGAAGCCUCAAGUCUGGUAGCACCAAAAUAUUAAAAAGCACCAUCACACCCGAGUCCUUUCUGCUCCGGCCCUCGGUGUAAACGCGUUUGGUGUGUGCUCAGUGAAAACGGCUGUCCAAGUGUUUUAUCUCCGAGUACCUGCCUUGCUGCCCACUCAGCUAGGACCGUUACCCGCUUGUCCUUCGUAUUGUGUCCGGUUGACACUGAUGGCUUUGGGAAAGCAGCAAAGGCUAACUUUAAUAUAUUUUUGUUGUUGUUGUUGUUGCGGUGGUAAGAUAUACAACAC
rnacentral:lncRNA from 1 species